rnacentral:tRNA from 2 species
CAUUUGGUAACUUAAAUACAAGUGUAAGUCUUUUAAGCUUAAAAUAGUAGUUUACUUCAAAUGG